UACGUAGGAGACGAGCGUUGUCCGGAGUUACUGGGCGUAAAGGGUGCGCAGGUGGUUGUGCGCGUGGGGGGUGAAAUCCCCCGGCUUAACCUGGGAACUGCGUCUGAUACUGGGAGGCUUGAGUAUGGGAGAGGGAUGUAGAAUUCCAGGUGUAGCGGUGAAAUGCGUAGAUAUCUGGAGGAAUACCGGUGGCGAAGGCGGCAUCCUGGACCAUAACUGACGCUGAGGCGCGAAAGCUAGGGGAGCAAACGGG
rnacentral:rRNA from 1 species